UCGGCCAUAUCAUAUUACAACACUAGUUCUCAAACGGUCACCGAAGUUAAGCAACGUCGAUCCUGGUCACUACCUAGAUGGGUGACCGCUUGGGAAUGCCAAGUACUGUAU